rnacentral:lncRNA from 1 species
AAAAAAAAAAUCCUAGAGAUUUGACAGCAUAUAGAAUUUUGAGAGCUAAAAUAUCAGGAGAUUUUAGAGAGAUCGGACUUUAGAGACCAAAAAAAACUAAAAUCAGAAAAAUGCCAAGCAACUAAACUCUGCAGAAAACUACUGUUUUGAUUGAAGUUUUCCUGAGAUUCUUGAAGUUCUCAUUAUUAAAAUCAUUCCUGAAUAUUCAAAGGUUAAAAUGAGUUGAGUUUUAUUGGGUAUUCAAGUGUUUGGGUCAGCUUCUGAUUGGAUUUUUGAUUUAUGGGUGUUAUUUAAGAUUGUUACUGGUUCAAAAUUGUUUCAAAGUUGGUUUCCUUUGUUCAUUUCUGGGCUGGUACAUUGCUGCUGGUUUUUGUUUGCUGCUGUUGAGUUCUGCUGUUUGAUUUACUGCUACUGAUGUCAUCUAGGCUCAAAAUAUUUCUUUUUUACUGUUGUAAUCAGGUACAUGUUACUAAAUCCAUCUCACAUGAAGUUUUGGUAUUGAAAUAAAGUGAAACCAGGAGUUCCAAACAUGGCUUCUGCAUAUUCAAAUCAAUUAGUUUAGUUUCUGUUAUUUCUUUUAGUUAAUUGAUGUAUCGCAUUCUCAACAUGGACCUGUCAUUGUUAAAGUUGGUAUGGC